UUCCCUCCCUUCUCCCUCCUCUCCUUCAUCCUCCCUUCAUCUUUUUCCUCCCCACUCUCUUGUGAAACUCUGUGUCACCCAUAGGGAGGCAGGUGUGACCGGGACAAACACCUGUGGUUUUCGUCUUUGAAAUCUGGCUUCAAGAUGCCACAGGCAUAGAAGCCAACAGGCGGGAGUUCGACCAACCAGGAGUUAGAUGUGUGCUGACUACCAGGGGGUGGCACAGAACACGGCGGGUGCUGGUGAUGUGGCGCUGGCAGCGGCUGGCAGUGUGGGCGCUGCCGGCCCCGAUGGGACCAUGGUGGGAUGGUGGAGCAGAUGGCUGGAGAUUGCGCCCACGUUUACUUGAGAGUCACUGAAGCUGCUUGAAUCCUUUGUUUCCCAUUGAUUGGGAAGCGAAAGACUCAGGGAAGCAAAGUUUCCUCUGUUGCUGAAUGCCAUAUGCAGAUGAGUGUAUUGCUGAUUAAAUGAGUCCCAGGAUCUGAAGACUUUUUCCAAGUCCUAUAGCAGAAGGACUUAGAGUCAUGGCACAGGGUCCAAUUUGCCCUCAGUCUUCAUUCACCCCAUUGUGCUGGGGCUGAUGUGGGUUCUUUAAGUCACACAUCCAAGAAUUCAGGAAUAAUAAAGAGAAACAGCAUCAACAAAGGCAGACGUUGCUGUGUUGUUUCUUAGGUGGGAAAUACCACGUGGACAUCAGAAGUAAACAAUGCCCUCCACCGGUCUGGUCUUUAUCGGUCCUGACCGGUUCCACUUUCUCUAGACCCAAGGUUCUGACCUUUGGCACUGCUGACACCCACUGAAUCAUUCUUCAUGGUGGGGGGCUGUCCCCGCACUGGAGUGUUUACCAGCAUCCUUGGCCCUACCCACUAGAUGCCAGCAGCAUCUCCUGCAUCGUCAUGCUAAGCAAAAACUGUCCCAGCGCUGCCAGUGUCCCCUGGAAAGGGGGUGGGGGGCCUCUGGUUGAGAACCACUCUUACAGGUCAUCCUACCCACAAGAUCCUGUAUGAAGACAGAAGAUUAAUUCUGUGUUCAGCCAGUAAUUGUGAAUAUGACUGGUUACAAAGCAGUUAUUCUAAUCAGAAUUCAUAGAGUUAGAACUGAAAAUAUGAGAGAAAGAGAAUGAGUCAACAAGGACUUAGAGCUAAAUUAAUAGGCAGCCCUUCAUUUUAUAGGUGAGGACCACAGUGGAAAGUGCUUUCCAAGAAACACAAUUAGAUGGUGAGCGAAGACUUGUUAUUUCUAUUUUUUUUUCUUAUUAUCUUAAGCAGUGCCUGGUUUCACUCACCUAUCAUCAUGAUACCAUUGUAAUUGGCUGGUUAUUAAUAAUAGGAAAGGAGCAUAAAGGAGGCCGGUGAUUAUAAGCAUGGCCAUCUGGGCAGCUUCACCAGGAAGCUGCAAUUUCAGUCCCCAGGGAACCACCAGCCCAUCCCCUGCCGAUCACUGGGGCAAGAGACUGGACAAAGGGGAGAUUGGACACAUGCACAGUGAAGUUGGGUUGACGUAGGGGAGGUACUUGUCAAUCAAAUCUGGGAACAAAAAUCACUGGCUAGAAGAGGUGCAGCCAAUGCAAGCCACUGAAAAUUUGGGGAUACAUAAUCCCCCAAACAAAGGAGCUGGCGCUCUUGGCUAAUGGGGCUCUCUUGUUCUUGCUUUCUUGCACUCAUCUGUUUCCUACUCAGCCAUGUGGCCUUGCGGACCCCACAUGCAAUGGGCUGAUGGAUUGCAACGGGGAACACAAACUGAGCUAGCCCGAUGCUGGAUUGGAUUGUUCCAACAUGGACCGGAGGCUCAGGACACGGGUUUUAGUCUUGCUAAAGGCAAAAUGGGACUUCUUCCUUUGGGGGGACUGACAGAAAUUGGACCUUGGAAACUUGGAGGUUUGCACCCAUGGAAAUAAAGUUUUCUACAAUGUUUUGUUCUCCUAAGCAAGUCUCAAAACAUUAUUUUUCUCGGGAUAUCACAAGAAUUCCACUCCCCUGAGUGGCAGGUGGGGGUGAAGACCUCUCUCCACUAAUAACGAUAGAGCCCUCCUGCUGGCAGCGUCCAUGAAUCAUUCUUCAUCGUGGGGGCCUGUUCUGUGCUCUGUGUGCUGGGGUGUUCACUAAU